rnacentral:rRNA from 1 species
UACGUAGGAUGCAAGCGUUGUCCGGAUUUACUGGGCGUAAAGCGCGCGCAGGCGGCACUCUAAGUACGCUGUGAAAUAUCCCGGCUCAACCGGGAGGGUGCAGUGUAGACUAGGGAGCUAGAGGUCGGUAGAGGGGGGUGGAAUUGCUGGUGUAGCGGUGAAAUGCGUAGAGAUCAGCAGGAACAUCAGUGGCGAAAGCGACUUCCUGGACCAAUACUGACGCUCAUGUGCGAAAGCGUGGGGAGCAAACAGG